rnacentral:rRNA from 1 species
UACGUAGGGUGCAAGCGUUGUCCGGAAUUAUUGGGCGUAAAGAGCUCGUAGGCGGUUUGUCGCGUCUGCUGUGAAAACUCGGGGCUUAACCCCGGGCCUGCAGUGGGUACGGGCAGACUAGAGUCCGGUAGGGGACCACGGAAUUCCUGGUGUAGCGGUGAAAUGCGCAGAUAUCAGGAGGAACACCGGUGGCGAAGGCGGUGGUCUGGGCCGGAACUGACGCUGAGGAGCGAAAGCGUGGGGAGCAAACAGG